UACAGAGGUCUCAAGCGUUGUUCGGAUUCAUUGGGCGUAAAGGGUGCGUAGGCGGCGGGGUAAGUCGGAUGUGAAAUCUCAGGGCUCAACCCUGAAACUGCAUUCGAUACUGCCUUGCUUGAGGACUCGAGAGGAGAUUGGAAUUCACGGUGUAGCAGUGAAAUGCGUAGAUAUCGUGAGGAAGACCAGUGGCGAAGGCGGAUCUCUGGAGAGUUCCUGACGCUGAGGCACGAAGGCCAGGGGAGCAAACGGG
rnacentral:rRNA from 1 species